rfam:Schistosoma haematobium scaffold480_15, whole genome shotgun sequence.
AUCCAACUGACGAGUCCCAAAUAGGAUGAAACUUACGUUCUGGAU